GGAAUAUGCGCUCGUUGAGUGAAACCGUAAGAUAGCGGAGGGACGCCGUUGCGGAGGAAUCCCCCGGGUCCCGUCCCGACGUCAUGCCCAACGCGUGGGGCGGCAAACAAGAUUAGAUACCUUGGUAGUCCACCCCCUAACCGAUUUCAACAAGGUCGUGGGGAGGGGUUUCUUCUCAGUAACGUACUAACGCGUGAAAUUGACCGCCUGGGGAGUACGGCCGCAAGGCUGAAACUCAAAGGAAUUGACGGGGCCCGCACAAGCGCUCGAUGAUGUGGUUUAAUUCGUUGCAACGCGAAAAACCUUACCUACCCUUGACAUGCCAGGAAUCCUGAAGAGAUUUGGGAGUGCUCGAAAGAGAACCUGGACACAGGUGCUGCAUGGCCGUCGUCAGCUCGUGUCGUGAGAUGUUGGGUUAAGUCUGGCAACGAGCGCAACCCUUGUCAUUAGUUGCUACGAAAGGGCACUCUAAUGAGACAGCCGGUGACAAACCGGAGGAAGGUGGGGAUGACGUCAGGUCAUCAUGGCCUUAUGGGUAGGGCUACACACGUCAUACAAUGGCCGGGACAGAGGGCUGCCAACCGCGAGGGGGAGCUAAUCCCAGAAACCGGUCGUAGUCCGGAUCGUAGUCUGCAACUCGGCUGCGUGAAGUCGGAAAUCGCUAGUAAUCGCGGAAGCGCUUGUAA
rnacentral:rRNA from 1 species